UCUUCCUCUACGUUUGUAAAG
rnacentral:piRNA from 1 species